rnacentral:sRNA from 1 species
GUUGGGCGUGGCGGCCACGCCUGUCAUCCCAGCGGCUUGGGAGGCUGAGGCAGGAGAAUCUCAAGUUUAAAGUCAGCCUGAGCAAUGGCCAGGUGCUAAGCAACUUAGUGAGACCCUGUCUCUA